AAGUUCUCCUUCAAAUCUUCCUCACAUUCCGAACAUGAGCAAUCAAUCAUGUUUUCCCUUCAUGACAUUAAAGGAUAAAUGAAUAUAAAAGUAACAAAAGAACAAAAGAAUGUACAAUAAUUAAGUUUACUAUAAAAGACAAAUGAACAAAGGUAUAUUGAAAAAAUGUCUACAUAUCUUGCUGAGAUUGCUAUCAAUAGUAGACAUAGUGUACAACUUGAAGAUGUAUAUGAUCUCAUGAGUACCAUUGCAAGUGUCAAAUGUAUAGAACAAAUAUGGAAAAUAAUGUGAUAAGUGGUGGUUAUAAAGGUUAGAGUGAAACUGAAAAUUAAGCAAUAUUUCUUUUAUUACUCUAUGUUGGUUACAUUUGCAAGAAACUCUAAGGUUAAGGAAGUGUAAUGGUGGAAAAUACUUAAUGGUAUGAUUAUGAUAGUGAAAAAUUAUAAAUAAUAUAAAAACAUGUUUU
rnacentral:lncRNA from 1 species